rnacentral:rRNA from 1 species
GAUGAACGCUGGCGGCGUGCCUAAUACAUGCAAGUCGAGCGAACUGAUUAGAAGCUUGCUUCUAUGACGUUAGCGGCGGACGGGUGAGUAGCACGUGGGCAACCUGCCUGUAAGACUGGGAUAACUUCGGGAAACCGAAGCUAAUACCGGAUAGGAUCUUCUCCUUCAUGGGAGAUGAUUGAAAGAUGGUUUCGGCUAUCACUUACAGAUGGGCCCGCGGUGCAUUAGCUAGUUGGUGAGGUAACGGCUCACAAAGGCAACGAUGCAUAGCCGACCUGAGAGGGUGAUCGGCCACACUGGGACUGAGACACGGCCCAGACUCCUACGGGAGGCAGCAGUAGGGAAUCUUCCGCAAUGGACGAAAGUCUGACGGAGCAACGCCGCGUGAGUGAUGAAGGCUUUCGGGUCGUAAAACUCUGUUGUUAGGGAAGAACAAGUACGAGAGUAACUGCUCGUACCUUGACGGUACCUAACCAGAAAGCCACGGCUAACUACGUGCCAGCAGCCGCGGUAACAC